AUUGAACGCUGGCGGCAGGCCUAACACAUGCAAGUCGAACGGUAACAGGAAGCAGCUUGCUGCUUUGCUGACGAGUGGCGGACGGGUGAGUAAUGUCUGGGAAACUGCCCGAUGGAGGGGGAUAACUACUGGAAACGGUAGCUAAUACCGCAUAACGUCGCAAGACCAAAGAGGGGGACCUUAGGGCCUCUUGCCAUCGGAUGUGCCCAGAUGGGAUUAGCUAGUAGGUGGGGUAACGGCUCACCUAGGCGACGAUCCCUAGCUGGUCUGAGAGGAUGACCAGCCACACUAGAACUGAGACACGGUCCAGACUCCUACGGGAGGCAGCAGUGGGGAAUAUUGCACAAUGGGCGCAAGCCUGAUGCAGCCAUGCCGCGUGUAUGAAGAAGGCCUUCGGGUUGUAAAGUACUUUCAGCGGGGAGGAAGGGAGUAAAGUUAAUACCUUUGCUCAUUGACGUUACCCGCAGAAGAAGCACCGGCUAACUCCGUG
rnacentral:rRNA from 1 species